UGAGUAACACGUAUCCAACCUGCCGUCUACUCUUGGACAGCCUUCUGAAAGGAAGAUUAAUACAAGAUGGCAUCAUGAGUCCGCAUGUUCACAUGAUUAAAGGUAUUCCGGUAGACGAUGGGGAUGCGUUCCAUUAGAUAGUAGGCGGGGUAACGGCCCACCUAGGCUUCGAUGGAUAGGGGUUCUGAGAGGAAGGUCCCCCACAUUGGAACUGAGACACGGUCCAA
rnacentral:rRNA from 1 species